GACGGACGCUGGCGGCGUGCUUAACACAUGCAAGUCGAACGGAAAGGCCCUGCUUUUGUGGGGUGCUCGAGUGGCGAACGGGUGAGUAACACGUGAGUAACCUGCCCUUGACUUUGGGAUAACUUCAGGAAACUGGGGCUAAUACCGGAUAGGAGCUCCUGCUGCAUGGUGGGGGUUGGAAAGUUUCGGCGGUUGGGGAUGGACUCGCGGCUUAUCAGCUUGUUGGUGGGGUAGUGGCUUACCAAGGCUUUGACGGGUAGCCGGCCUGAGAGGGUGACCGGCCACAUUGGGACUGAGAUACGGCCCAGACUCCUACGGGAGGCAGCAGUGGGGAAUAUUGCACAAUGGGCGGAAGCCUGAUGCAGCAACGCCGCGUGCGGGAUGACGGCCUUCGGGUUGUAAACCGCUUUCGCCUGUGACGAAGCGUGAGUGACGGUAAUGGGUAAAGAAGCACCGGCUAACUCCGUG
rnacentral:rRNA from 1 species